rnacentral:rRNA from 1 species
CUACGGGAGUCAGCAGUGGGGAAUAUUGGUCAAUGGCCGGAAGGCUGAACCAGCCAAGCCGCGUGAAGGACGAAGGUGCCAAGCAUUGUAAACUUCUUUUGUCAAGGGACAAAAUCAGGCUCGAGAGCCUGACCGAGGGUACUUGAAGACAAAGCAUCGGCUAACUCCGUGACAGCAGCCGCGGUAAUAGGGAGGAUGCGAGCGUUAUCCUGAUUUAUUGGGUUUAAAGGGUGCGUAGGCGGGCUGUUAAGUCAGCGGUAAACACCCGGGGCUAAACCACGGCGAGCCGUUGAAACUGGCUGUCUUGAGAUGUCGAGAGGUAUGCGGAAUGCGCAGUGUAGCGGUGAAAUGCUUAGAUAUUGCGCAGAACUACGAUUGCGAAGGCAGCAUACCGGCGGCGAUCUGACGCUGAGGCGCGAAAGCGUGGGUAUCGAACAGGAUUAGAUACCCUUGUAGUC